rnacentral:rRNA from 1 species
UACGUAGGGGGCUAGCGUUGUCCGGAAUCAUUGGGCGUAAAGAGCGUGUAGGCGGUCCGGUAAGUCCGCUGUGAAAGUCGGGGGCUCAACCCUCGAAUGCCGGUGGAUACUGUCGGGCUAGAGUGCGGAAGAGGCGAGUGGAAUUCCUGGUGUAGCGGUGAAAUGCGCAGAUAUCAGGAGGAACACCGAUUGCGAAGGCAGCUCGCUGGGACGUUACUGACGC